UACGGGGGGAGCAAGCGUUGUUCGGAUUUACUGGGCGUAAAGCGCACGUAGGCGGAUCGAUCAGUCAGGGGUGAAAUCCCAGAGCUCAACUCUGGAACUGCCUUUGAUACUGUCGAUCUGGAGUAUGGAAGAGGUGAGUGGAAUUCCGAGUGUAGAGGUGAAAUUCGUAGAUAUUCGGAGGAACACCAGUGGCGAAGGCGGCUCACUGGUCCAAUUACUGACGCUGAGGUGCGAAAGCGUGGGGAGCAAACAGG
rnacentral:rRNA from 1 species